GAAAGUUGUUAUCCGAUCAAGCCAAACCGCCCCUAAAUUUCUAAUCCAACGGCUGAGAUUUAAACUUAACGCGUGCUAGAGGCUGUGGGGCCGUCAAAAUCCCGGCAAAUUAUCCUCAGUCCUCGGACCUUUUAUUGAAGUAAUUAUCCUUUUACUCGGUUUCGAUGGAAGCGGGAAUUCUCUUCCCCGCCACUCUCAUUCCAUGGAGUCCCAAUUUCAACAUCGUAAGGGCUUCUUCUUCUUCUUCCUCCCUUUUGCGCACUUACGUCGGUGGAGUUUCUCUCUUAGUCGUCCUCUAUAAUAAUCGCGCCGUUUCUGGAUUGCUCCGUCGCCGAUGCCAGCAGGUUCAUCGGUAAAUUUUAAAAUAAUGGUAUGGAAGUAUCUGUUAGAGGUGGCAUGCUGCAGGUUUUUGAUUGUUGGUUAUGAUGAGAUGUGUAUGUUUCAAGUUGGUUUUGCUGCGGGUGAUGGUGAGGACGAACAUGUGGAACCUAGUAAAUUGAUGCAGGGAUUGCUCUAUCAAGGAAUUCUCAAAUCUCAAGCUCGUGAGUAGUAAAUGAUCUGUGUACAGAGAUCAGCACACAAUGUACUACUUGAUUGUUGUGCAAUUGGAAGUCGGAGCUGCCAUUUCUUACUUCAAAUACUCAGGUACAUUGCUUAAUACUAUUCAGGUUGUUGUUAGAUUUGUUCCUUUUUCCUUUUUCUUUUAUUUUUUUGGUAUAUAUAUAAGGCAGAUAGUUUUCUACAGUGGCUUCAUUCUUGGGUAUUUGUCACUCUAUAUGUGGUAAACCUAUAAACUACCGAACUUGUUUUUGUCUCUCAAUGUUUAACUUAUUGUGGUUGGUGUGCAAAUGAACCUCGAGUUUGAAGCAUCAUUUGGUGCACUUGAUGAAUAAUUUGGUUGUUUGCAUGUGUAGUUAGUCCUCACAUUCACUUUCAGAAACUUGGGAGUCUUCUCCAUCUCUGCUGGCUUAAAAGAGUCUCUCCUUGUAUAUAGUAUCUACUUGUUCUCUGAAGCCAGACUCUGCUAUUCUACUUAUCUGUUUGCUUAAAGCCCCGUUCGAAUGAAUUAGAACUGUAGUUCAACCUUUUGGUUUUCUUAAAGCCCCCUCUUUUGAAUGAAUAGAACUGUAGUUCUACCUUUCUGUAGUUGCUCGAUUGCACAUAUUGUCUGUCAACUGAUGGUGACGACCUUUUCCUCUUUCUUUCUAUGGCAUAAUUAUUAUUCCCAGCUUCAAAUUUGAAAUGUUCACUGUCAUGGAUUUCAAUCGUUGAGAGAAGCUGGAUGCUACUCUGUUGAAGUAUUUGAAUAAUUUUGAACCGCGGUAAAAUUGAGCUCAAAGUGAACGGAACUGUUGAUGGACAAACAUAACUUGGUUAUUUGAUUGUUCAUUUUAUUUAUUUCCAAUAUUUCCAUGGGCGAAAAGAGAUAAUAUUGAAGCCCCUGUAAAAGCCAGACGAAGCAACUCAACUAAGUAGUUGAUUUCUAUGUAUGUUCCAUAUAUACAAAAGCUUCUCCUUUUCUUUCAACCAUCAACUCUAGAUGUAUUCACUGAUUGAAGGUAAUGUCUGGUUCGCUUACUUUUAUCCAUUUUCUGUCUGUGGUAAUGCUGAGUGCAUUCUUACAUGUGUGUACAACCGACAUAGCAGACAGCAGAUGAUUUAUUCAAAUUUGAAGUAUGAAUCAGAAAGAAUUUCAUUCCAGCAACUGAAAGUGUAAGUUAAAAACAUGUGACUAAAUCAUAGCAUGUCGAUGGAGUAAAAAAAUAAUCAGACAAACAUUCUAUUUGUA